GAUGAACGCUGGCGGCGUGCCUAAUACAUGCAAGUCGAGCGAACGGACGAGAAGCUUGCUUCUCUGAUGUUAGCGGCGGACGGGUGAGUAACACGUGGAUAACCUACCUAUAAGACUGGGAUAACUUCGGGAAACCGGAGCUAAUACCGGAUGAUAUUUUGAACCGCAUGGUUCAAAAGUGAAAGACGGUCUUGCUGUCACUUAUAGAUGGAUCCGCGCUGCAUUAGCUAGUUGGUAAGGUAACGGCUUACCAAGGCAACGAUGCAUAGCCGACCUGAGAGGGUGAUCGGCCACACUGGAACUGAGACACGGUCCAGACUCCUACGGGAGGCAGCAGUAGGGAAUCUUCCGCAAUGGGCGAAAGCCUGACGGAGCAACGCCGCGUGAGUGAUAAAGGUCUUCGGAUCGUAAAACUCUGUUAUUAGGGAAGAACAUAUGUGUAAGUAACUGUGCACAUCUUGACGGUACCUAAUCAGAAAGCCACGGCUAACUAUGUG
rnacentral:rRNA from 1 species